AUACCGGAUAGAGCAUCGAUCGCUGGAAUGCAUGAUGCUCGAAAACCGAGGUGCCAAAGGAUAGGUCUGCGGCCGAUUAGGUUGUUGUUGAUGUAACGGAUCAACAAGCCUCCGAUCGGUAUGGGUUGUGAGAGCAAUAGCCCAGAGAUGGGUUCUGAGAGAAGAACCCAGGUCCUACGGGACGCAUCAGGCGCGAAAACUUUACAAUGUGCGAAAGCACGAUAAGGGAACUCUGAGUGCCUCCUAAGGAGGCUGUUCAGGUGUCUAAAAAGCAUCUGAAGGAAGGGCUGGGUAAGACCGGUGCCAGCCGCCGCGGUAACACCGGCAGCCCAAGUGGUGGCCACUUUUACUGGGUCUAAAGCGUUCGUAGCCGGCCAGGUAAGUUCCUUGGGAAAUUUGACCGCUUAACGGUCAAGCUUUCAGGGAAUACUGCGUGGCUUGAGACCGGGAGAGGUCAGAGGUACCUCAAGGGUAGGGGUGAAAUCCGUUAAUCCUUGGGGGACCACCGGUAGCGAAGGCGUCUGACCAGAGCGGAUCCGACGGUCAGGAACGAAGGCUAGGGUAGCGAACCGGAUUAGAUACCCGGGUAGUCCUAGCUGUAAACGAUGCGGGCU
rnacentral:rRNA from 1 species